GUUCACUGAUAUGAAGAGCUUGCUCGGAUUUGAAGAUGAACAUUGCAAAGAGUGGCGAACGGGUGAGUAACACGUGGGAAACCUACCUCUUAGCGGGGGAUAACACUUGGAAACAAGUGCUAAUACCGCAUAAUACUGAUAACCGCAUGGUUAUCAGUUGAAAGAUGGUUCUGCUAUCACUAAGAGAUGGUCCCGCGGUGUAUUAGCUAGUUGGUAAGGUAAUGGCUUACCAAGGCAAUGAUACAUAGCCGAGUUGAGAGACUGAUCGGCCACAAUGGGACUGAGACACGGCCCAUACUCCUACGGGAGGCAGCAGUAGGGAAUCUUCCACAAUGGACGAAAGUCUGAUGGAGCAACGCCGCGUGUGUGAUGAAGGGUUUCGGCUCGUAAAACACUGUUGUAAGAGAAGAAUGACAUUGAGAGUAACUGUUCAGUGUGUGACGGUAUCUUACCAGAAAGGAACGGCUAAAUACGUGCCAGCAGCCGCGGUAAUACGUAUGUUCCAAGCGUUAUCCGGAUUUAUUGGGCGUAAAGCGAGCGCAGACGGUUGUUUAAGUCUGAAGUGAAAGCCCACAGCUUAACUGUGGAAGUGCUUUGGAAACUGGAUAACUUGAGUGCAGUAGAGGAGAGUGAAACUCCAUGU
rnacentral:rRNA from 1 species